rnacentral:rRNA from 1 species
UCUAGUGUUUUGAGUCUACCGGUAGCAGUUGGCGGGUAAGGGGGGAAUUUGGGGUUCUGAUUCCCAGAUUAGGGAGCCCUGAGAGCGCGGAUAUCCACAUCUCAGCGAAGUGCAGCAGAGCGCGCAAGAUUCCUCCAAUCUCUGACUACAGGGACAGUAGUGACAAUGAAAUAACAACAUCUGGAAAUUUUAUUUGCUAGUGAUUGGAACUGAUGGGAAUUUAAACCCCUUUCAGAGUAACAAUUGGAGGGCAAGUCUGGUGCCAGCAGCCGCGGUAAUUCCAGCUCCAAUAGCGUAUAUUAAAGUUGUUGCAGUUAAAAAGCUCGUAGUUGGAUGUCUGCUGGAAGCAAUCAGUCCGCCCUAUUUGUAGGGUGUGCACUUGAUGAAUUCUGGCAUCUAUAUCCCAAUAAUAUGUGAUGGUGUAUAUAUACCCUGUAUAUAUACCCAUCUAUAUUGGGAUAAUACCGUUACUUUGAGAAAAUUAGAGUGUUUGAAGCAGGCUAAUUGCCUUGAAUACUGCAGCAUGGAAUAACAAUAUAGGAUUUCGGUUCUAUUUUGUUGGUUUCUAGGACUGAAAUAAUGAUUAAUAGGGACAGUUGGGGGUGGAUAACCUGGUAUUUCUAUGUUGUCUGGCUUGUCUGGUUACGUG